AGUUGAUUGCCAAGUUCGCUACUGAACAUGGAAAUGACCAUUUGACUGAUUUAAAAAUCGUCUCUAGCGUAUUCGUCCACGUCGACCUUUGCUCCAAAGCAAAUGGCGUUGAUUGCGUUUGGCGUCAUCUUAAAUUCAGGCAUCGAUUUUCCGUAGACUUUCAAAGUGUGAAACAAGCUGACGAAGUCCUGGGUGCAGAACAGAGUGUCGGCCAGCGCCACACCCAGCGUGGACGGGAUGAAGCCUCGGCCGUACUCCACCAUCCAUGUUCCGGCGGUCCACUGAACCCCCGCGGCCUCCCCCAUAUGGUGCAUCACUGUGUCACCUGUGUUUGAUGUUAUACAAAGGUACCAGAGACAAGGGUGUCAGAAAUGUCAGCCCAGUAACGACCUACAGACACAGAGGAAGAAAGUCGAAGAAACUUUUCACAAAUCAAUGCCUGUAAAAUUCCACAAAAAGGAGGAUUACACCAUCAACACUAUUGUCAGGGGGCAGCCUUGGACUCAUGACAAUUUGAGUUAUGGGACCAAAUACUUUGGAAAAACCUCAAUUCCAUUGACAUGCCUUCCUAUGAAGAAGCAAGUCUGGGGACUCUGAAACUUGUUCUCCUACCUCUGGGGCUGAAGUCACAGAGGUGUUUUAAAAGAAAAAAACUUGCUUGGUGGCAAGGUGAGAUUUGCCCGGAUUUCCUACACCCUGAAGAUUAGACGUGCUCAAUGUGUCGAUCUCGAUCGACCACGAUCAAUACGGGCACGUCAUAUCGGGAGGAAGCUCAAGAAAUGCUGACGAGACUAUGUCUCUGACAUCAUCACCUCGAGUUUCACCACAGAAGAGCGGGACAAAGUGGCUGGGGAGAGUGAAGUCUGGGUUUCUAUGCUUAAAAUGCUGCCCCUGUGAUCUGACUUCGGAAAAAAUGAAUGAAUAACCAUUACAAAUUAAGUAAACUUAAUCCCUUUCACUAUGUUCAGAAUGUGAUAAACACACACACUUCCCUCUG